AUGGGGACUUCUCUGGUUGGGGCAGCCUCUGGGAAUUAGCUGGAUAUCCUGAGCUACUGCAGAACUGGCCAUACUCCUUACUGGCUGGAGAGGCGCUCCACCACCACCUCUCACGGGGCAGCACUCAGGAAAGCAGGCCCUAUGCUUAGCCUGGACAGUGCAGCAGAGCUGACCCUGGUGGUGGAGGUGCAGGUGAGCUGGCCCCAGAGCGAGAGCACUGGGGAACUGGCCCCGCUGUUUGAAUGCUGUGAGGUGGCAUGAGUGGGGGUGAUGCCCUUGCCCUUCGCCACCUACAGCAGUCAGGGGAGCUUACCCCAGGCUCAUGGGAGUGAGUGAGCUGUCCCUGUCCCUUACUGGCUGCAGCACUAAGGGAAGUGGGCCCUGCACCUUGCCUUUGUGUGAAGCUGGCCUUCAGGAGGAAAGUAUGGGUGAGCCCACCCUGAGGAUGUGAGAAUGGAAGAGCUGGUACCGGAGCAGUGCCUGAGAGCUUGUCCUGGGGCACGGAACAGGGAGACCUGCAUGCUCACCAGCUCUGAUACCACCCAGAUCCAGAUCCAGGGCUCCGUCCGAGUUGGCUCACUCCAAAAUCUAUGUCAUCUGCGAAUGAUUGAGAUUCAUGGAAGGGCCCGUCCUGCUGAUCCAGUGCUACAGGAUCUCCACAACACAGGGCAACAAUAGGAUAAUUGGGAGGAGUCUGCUGAGGGUUCAAUAUUCAUACCAUCACAGAAACCAGAGGCCUUGAACCAGACCAAUGACUCAUUGCAAUGAACGUUUGCAGAGCAAGAAGCCAGUAGAGUUGAGAGAUGAUGUAUCCAUUUCUGUGAGUUUCUGAUGGUGUCGUCCUGCUGUGAGGCAAAAAGUGAGAGAAGACCUAUUUAUAGAACGCUCAGAUACUGCUCUGGCAUCAUAUCUGCUUGAAUGCUGCUUCUUGCCAUUCUAGUAAUGUACCAAACCUCUGAUACUAUAACCAAGUCACAGGUCAAGACAAUCAUCCCUUUCAUAUCCUUGGUCAAGUGCAGGCAAGACAAUGGUAGGGACUACUUCUGGAUGAUGAAGCUGACUGCUGUAAAGGAUGAUCUACCCAAGUGUUUUGAUGAUGCGGCAACCAGAAGAAGAUAGACUUUCACAACCACGGGAUAGAAGCCAAGCACACUGCUCCCCUGGAUUCUGUGUCGGAAGGGUAAUACAAAGCCCAACCCACAUGCAAGAGGAGGGGUAUUAAUCUGCACUUUCAGAAAGCAGAACUGUCAAAGCCAUUGUGGAUGUAUUUUAAGGCUGAUGUAUUGGUGCAUUGUUUGUACUUCAAGAAAUUAAAGGGUUAAAAAAAUAAAAAAAGGUCAAAGACCUUUCAAACAGGAAAGGUUAACUUGCUGGCUGCGCAGAGAACGGAUCCACUUGAGAGGCUGAUAGCAUUCAUGUCCACGGGAAAGGCUAAGAUUUGAACUAACAGGAAAACAGAGAAUGUAGAGGACUGUCACCAGGCUCAGGGAUGGCAUUAUAGACAGAUGGCUCUAAGUUACUGCAGCUUUUUAAAAAUUGAUCAUUUUCCUGUACAACCUUUUCAUAUUAUUAAAGGCUACUGAAACUGUAAAACAAACAAACAAACAAACAAACAUGUAAAAUUAUAUUGAAAAGAGUCUGUAUGGUGGAAUAAGUUUUUAAAAGGUACAAACCUUUAUUGGUUAGAUUAUACUACAGAAGCUAGUAAUAUUGUGGGAAAAUGAGAAAUUGUAAACAUGUAGUUAUGAAAAUGAAGCAGUUACUCUCUUUAAGUAACUAAAACCAAAAACGCUACUUAUUGUAUUAUUUUUAAAUAACAGAUAAUUGAGUGUUUAGGAUCACAAAUAAAGUUAAAAAUUUAAAUAUAUGCCACCUAAGUUCCUAUGGAACUUAUAGAAAAAUAAAUUUAACUUGCAUAGCCGAAACUAAAAUAGAAUAGAAAUGUAAAACAAAACAAAAACUUCUUUUGUUUUCAGGGACAGAAUCUUGUGGUUUGUGAAGUGCUGGUGAUCUCUUGCUUCAGUGUACUGCUUUCUGGGAUUCCACAUGUGUGCUACUAUACCCAGCUCAGAAAGUUUUGAAAUAAAAUAAUACACGGCAGAAAGACAAUAGUAUACAAUGAAAAAUGUGUCACUUACACUUAAUUGAUUUUCAAAUUAAAUAUGAAAAGUAAUAUGAAGUGAGAAUAUUUUAUAAAAUUUGAUUUAGUUCUAAAACAAA